rnacentral:rRNA from 1 species
UACGAAGGGUGCAAGCGUUAAUCGGAAUUACUGGGCGUAAAGCGCGCGUAGGUGGUUCAGUAAGUUGGAAGUGAAAUCCCCGGGCUCAACCUGGGAACUGCUUUCAAAACUGCUGAGCUAGAGUACGGUAGAGGGUGGUGGAAUUUCCUGUGUAACGGUGAAAUGCGUAGAUAUAGGAAGGAACACCAGUGGCGAAGGCGACCACCUGGACUGAUACUGACACUGAGGUGCGAAAGCGUGGGGAGCAAACAGG